rnacentral:rRNA from 1 species
UGAGGAAUCUUGCGCAAUGGGGGAAACCCUGACGCAGCAACGCCGCGUGAGUGAGGAAGGUUUUCGAAUCGUAAAGCUCUGUCAGGUGGAAAGAAAUGCAUGGAAGUUAAUAGCUUCCAUGCUUGACGGUACCACCAGAGGAAGCACCGGCUAACUCCGUGCAAGCAGCCGCGGUAAUACGGGGGGUGCAAGCGUUGUUCGGAAUCAUUGGGCGUAAAGAGCGUGUAGGCGGCUUGAUAAGUCAGAUGUGAAAGCCCUGGGCUUAACCCAGGAAGUGCAUUUGAUACUGUUUAGCUAGAGUAAGGGAGAGGAAAGCGGAAUUCCUGGUGUAGAGGUGAAAUUCGUAGAUAUCAGGAGGAACACCGGUGGCGAAGGCGGCUUUCUGGCCCUAUACUGACGCUGAGACGCGAGAGCGUGGGUAGCAAACAG